GUCGAGCGAACAGACGAGGAGCUUGCUCCUCUGACGUUAGCGCGGACGGGUGAGUAACACGUGGAUAACCUACCUAUAAGACUGGGAUAACUUCGGGAAACCGGAGCUAAUACCGGAUAAUAUAUUGAACCGCAUGGUUCAAUAGUGAAAGACGGUUUUGCUGUCACUUAUAGAUGGAUCCGCGCCGCAUUAGCUAGUUGGUAAGGUAACGGCUUACCAAGGCAACGAUGCGUAGCCGACCUGAGAGGGUGAUCGGCCACACUGGAACUGAGACACGGUCCAGACUCCUACGGGAGGCAGCAGUAGGGAAUCUUCCGCAAUGGGCGAAAGCCUGACGGAGCAACGCCGCGUGAGUGAUGAAGGUCUUCGGAUCGUAAAACUCUGUUAUUAGGGAAGAACAAAUGUGUAAGUAACUAUGCACGUCUUGACGGUACCUAAUCAGAAAGCCACGGCUAACUACGUGCCAGCAGCCGCGGUAAUACGUAGGUGGCAAGCGUUAUCCGGAAUUAUUGGGCGUAAAGCGCGCGUAGGCGGUUUUUUAAGUCUGAUGUGAAAGCCCACGGCUCAACCGUGGAGGGUCAUUGGAAACUGGAAAACUUGAGUGCAGAAGAGGAAAGUGGAAUUCCAUGUGUAGCGGUGAAAUGCGCAGAGAUAUGGAGGAACACCAGUGGCGAAGGCGACUUUCUGGUCUGUAACUGACGCUGAUGUGCGAAAGCGUGGGGAUCAAACAGGAUUAGAUACCCUGGUAGUCCACGCCGUAAACGAUGAGUGCUAAGUGUUAGGGGGUUUCCGCCCCUUAGUGCUGCAGCUAACGCAUUAAGCACUCCGCCUGGGGGAGUACGA
rnacentral:rRNA from 1 species